GUUCCUUUGGGACAUCCGAUAAAAUUAGAAUGAUACAGAGAAGAUUAGCAUACCUCACGCAAGAAUAAAAAAAAAUAAAGCUUACAUUCAU
rnacentral:snRNA from 2 species